GAUAAAAUAUCAAUUAGGACUAACGUCAACUAACUUAAUUGUUUUUUUCGAUUAGCUUUCUUAAAAACCGGAAUUCAGUGUUAAAAAAGUGAUUCCAAUUCAUAUAUUCAUAUUCUUUCUAAUAAUAAUAAUCGAAAUUAAACGUAUUUGGAGAAUUGAAAAAAUAGAAACUAUUAAUAUAUUAUAAGUUGAUGUCAUUUUAUAAUGUAUCAGUUACAGGUUAUUUUAUGGAAAAACUAUGACCGGCUCUACCAAAAGGAAAUUAUGUUUGGAAAAUAAAAAUAAAAAAAUGGCUGCGUUAAUGGAUAUAGUAAAAUUAAAUGAAUAUGAUCGAAAUUUGAAAACCAAAGAAUCAAAACUUGAUGACAAUGUUAGUAUGCACCCACUGAAGGAGCCAAACCCAAAAAGAUUAAAAACAGAAAAUAGUGAAACGUAAGUACCUAUUAUCUUUUAAUCAAUGAAUUAAAUAUAAAACAAAUUAGUUUCUAAAUAUUUAUUCAAUUAAAUAUUUUUAUAAAUAGAUUCUACUUUAAACAGCUUAUGAAACUGAGAGUUUUUUCGGAAUUAUGACAAAACACCUAAAGGCGGAUUGUCAUUGCCCGAAAUUGUUUCCCGAAAUUCAGUCAGUUUGUGCGAGAAAUUAUAUUGCUCUCCUGAUCCAUCUUUGGCGCGAAAUACACGGUGUACUUAUACACUGGAGGAUACAAGGAAGGCGAAGCAGUUUGAUGCGUGAUUGAAAACUUACUUCUAAACAUACUCGCGAAUAUAGUUUCAUUAGAGCAAGGAGCUGUUUACAAAAUUUACUCGACAUUUCGGUUAAUUCGUGUGGCACUAUUUGCCAACUUUUAUAAUCAUUUCAAAUGUUGAUAUAAGGUAGAAGGUCCAAGAGAGUUUGAUAAUCAGUGAGUACUGGUACUAGGUUGGUUUUCUACUGCUUACAUUGUAACUUCAAUAUCCCACGCAGGUGGAAGACCUGAGCCCAAAAGAUUUUGAAUCGUCAACUGUCCACCCUGAGUCUAAAUGGUAAGGAAAUACGUGAAAUACCUCGGAACACUUGAACAGAAGACUAAAGUAAAAAACAAAUCUUUACUAAAAGGAAACAACUUGGCCUCAAGUUGCAUAAACUCUACUGGAUUAUUGGACGAUACUCCGAGAUAUCUCUUGAGAACAAUAUCUUAAUAUACAAAGUUGUUCUUAAACGAAUCUGGCAUUAAAAAGAUGCUUGAGUGGAUUGGAAAAAGUUGACAAACUAAAAGCAUGGACAGAAACUCUAGAAAUUAAAUCAAGUGUACUCCUUCCAUUUAAUAAAACCGAUUAUGCAUUUCCAGAUUUUUGAAGCUAGUGUAUGAAGAUAAAUUCAAGACUAUCCUGAACAACGGCUCACUCUUACAGCAUAUGAAACCGUCUUUGCCUUGUUUGGAGUAGAUUCGACCUUUGUAGAAAGGCCGGGGAAGUGGCUGAAAUUUUAGUGAGAACCUCUCACCGCCUUCGUAAAUAUUGAUAAGUGCUGAUAUCUUUUUUUAUCUUCUUAAUUCUUAUUUUAUUAAACGCUAUAAAAUUACAUUUAUUUUGGUUUUCAAAUGCAAAAAAUCGAACAAAUUUAACAAAUGACAGAUCUGAUUAAUAGCUUGUAAUAGCUAAUUUAAAAACCAAAAUAAAUGUAAUUUCAUAGCGUUUAAUAAAAUAGCAUUGAGAAGAUAAAAAAUUAUGAACAAAAAAAAUUGUUAUUUAAUGUAUCAACUAUAAAAUACAUGUAGAAAGACUGACCCAAAAAGGUCGGCGGCCCCCCGGAGCGAAAACUGUUUGGCAACACAGGUAGGCGACCCGAAGUUAUCAUAGAGUUUAAAUGGUAACAUGGACCGACAAAGUAUGGAAAUAGAACUUCCAAUAAGUUUUGCAGUGAAAGGUGGAAAAAUAUGGAGUUUGAAUGAGCAGAGAAAUCAAA